GGUUAAGUUAGAAAGGGCGCACGGUGGAUGCCUUGACACUAGGAGUCGAUGAAGGACGGGACUAACGCCGAUAUGCUUCGGGGAGCUGUAAGUAAGCUUUGAUCCGAAGAUUUCCGAAUGGGGAAACCCACCAUACGUAAUGGUAUGGUAUCCUUAUCUGAAUACAUAGGGUAAGGAAGACAGACCCAGGGAACUGAAACAUCUAAGUACCUGGAGGAAGAGAAAGCAAAUGCGAUUUCCUGAGUAGCGGCGAGCGAAACGGAACAUAGCCCAAACCAAGAGGCUUGCCUCUUGGGGUUGUAGGACAUUCUAUACGGAGUUACAAAGGAACGAGGUAGACGAAGCGACCUGGAAAGGUCCGUCGUAGAGGGUAACAACCCCGUAGUCGAAACUUCGUUCUCUCUUGAAUGUAUCCUGAGUACGGCGGAACACGUGAAAUUCCGUCGGAAUCUGGGAGGACCAUCUCCCAAGGCUAAAUACUCCCUAGUGAUCGAUAGUGAACCAGUACCGUGAGGGAAAGGUGAAAAGCACCCCGGAAGGGGAGUGAAAGAGAUCCUGAAACCGUGUGCCUACAAAUAGUCAGAGCCCGUUAACGGGUGAUGGCGUGCCUUUUGUAGAAUGAACCGGCGAGUUACGAUCCCGUGCGAGGUUAAGCUGAAGAGGCGGAGCCGCAGCGAAAGCGAGUCUGAAUAGGGCGUUUAGUACGUGGUCGUAGACCCGAAACCAGGUGAUCUACCCAUGUCCAGGGUGAAGUUCAGGUAACACUGAAUGGAGGCCCGAACCCACGCACGUUGAAAAGUGCGGGGAUGAGGUGUGGGUAGCGGAGAAAUUCCAAUCGAACCUGGAGAUAGCUGGUUCUCCCCGAAAUAGCUUUAGGGCUAGCCUUAAGUGUAAGAGUCUUGGAGGUAGAGCACUGAUUGGACUAGGGGUCCUCAUCGGAUUACCGAAUUCAGUCAAACUCCGAAUGCCAAUGACUUAUCCUUAGGAGUCAGACUGCGAGUGAUAAGAUCCGUAGUCAAAAGGGAAACAGCCCAGACCGCCAGCUAAGGUCCCAAAGUGUGUAUUAAGUGGAAAAGGAUGUGGAGUUGCUUAGACAACUAGGAUGUUGGCUUAGAAGCAGCCACCAUUUAAAGAGUGCGUAAUAGCUCACUAGUCGAGUGACUCUGCGCCGAAAAUGUACCGGGGCUAAAUACACCACCGAAGCUGCGGAUUGAUACCAAUGGUAUCAGUGGUAGGGGAGCGUUCUAAGGACAGUGAAGUCAGACCGGAAGGACUGGUGGAGUGCUUAGAAGUGAGAAUGCCGGUAUGAGUAGCGAAAGACGGGUGAGAAUCCCGUCCACCGAAUGCCUAAGGUUUCCUGAGGAAGGCUCGUCCGCUCAGGGUUAGUCAGGACCUAAGCCGAGGCCGACAGGCGUAGGCGAUGGACAACAGGUUGAUAUUCCUGUACCACCUCUUUAUCGUUUGAGCAAUGGAGGGACGCAGAAGGAUAGAAGAAGCGUGCGAUUGGUUGUGCACGUCCAAGCAGUUAGGCUGAUAAGUAGGCAAAUCCGCUUAUCAUAAAGGCUGAGCUGUGAUGGGGAAGCUCCUUAUGGAGCGAAGUCUUUGAUUCCCCGCUGCCAAGAAAAGCUUCUAGCGAGAUAAAAGGUGCCUGUACCGCAAACCGACACAGGUAGGCGAGGAGAGAAUCUAAGGUGUGCGAGAGAACUCUGGUUAAGGAACUCGGCAAAAUGACCCCGUAACUUCGGGAGAAGGGGUGCUUUCUUAACGGAAAGCCGCAGUGAAUAGGCCCAAGCGACUGUUUAGCAAAAACACAGCUCUCUGCGAAGCCGUAAGGCGAAGUAUAGGGGGUGACACCUGCCCGGUGCUGGAAGGUUAAGGAGAGGGGUUAGCGUAAGCGAAGCUCUGAACUGAAGCCCCAGUAAACGGCGGCCGUAACUAUAACGGUCCUAAGGUAGCGAAAUUCCUUGUCGGGUAAGUUCCGACCCGCACGAAAGGUGUAACGAUUUGGGCACUGUCUCAACCAGAGACUCGGUGAAAUUAUAGUACCUGUGAAGAUGCAGGUUACCCGCGACAGGACGGAAAGACCCCGUGGAGCUUUACUGUAGCCUGAUAUUGAAUUUUGGUACAGUUUGUACAGGAUAGGCGGGAGCCUUUGAAACCGGAGCGCUAGCUUCGGUGGAGGCGCUGGUGGGAUACCGCCCUGACUGUAUUGAAAUUCUAACCUACGGGUCUUAUCGACCCGGGAGACAGUGUCAGGUGGGCAGUUUGACUGGGGCGGUCGCCUCCUAAAGUGUAACGGAGGCGCCCAAAGGUUCCCUCAGAAUGGUUGGAAAUCAUUCGUAGAGUGCAAAGGCAUAAGGGAGCUUGACUGCGAGACCUACAAGUCGAGCAGGGACGAAAGUCGGGCUUAGUGAUCCGGUGGUUCCGCAUGGAAGGGCCAUCGCUCAACGGAUAAAAGCUACCCCGGGGAUAACAGGCUUAUCUCCCCAAGAGUCCACAUCGACGGGGAGGUUUGGCACCUCGAUGUCGGCUCAUCGCAUCCUGGGGCUGUAGUCGGUCCCAAGGGUUGGGCUGUUCGCCCAUUAAAGCGGUACGCGAGCUGGGUUCAGAACGUCGUGAGACAGUUCGGUCCCUAUCCGUCGUGGGCGUAGGAAAUUUGAGAGGAGCUGUCCUUAGUACGAGAGGACCGGGAUGGACGCACCGCUGGUGUACCAGUUGUUCUGCCAAGGGCAUAGCUGGGUAGCUAUGUGCGGAAGGGAUAAGUGCUGAAAGCAUCUAAGCAUGAAGCCCCCCUCAAGAUGAGAUUUCCCAUAGCGUAAGCUAGUAAGAUCCCUGAAAGAUGAUCAGGUUGAUAGGUUCGAGGUGGAAGCAUGGUGACAUGUGGAGCUGACGAAUACUAAUAGAUCGAGGACUUAACCAU
rnacentral:rRNA from 1 species